GACGAACGCUGGCGGCGUGCUUAACACAUGCAAGUCGAACGGAAAGGCCCUGCUGUUGUGGGGUGCUCGAGUGGCGAAAGGGUGAGUAACACGUGAGUAACCUGCCCUUGACUUUGGGAUAACUUCAGGAAACUGGGGCUAAUACCGGAUAGGAGCUCCUGCGGCAUGGUGGGGGUUGGAAAGUUUCGGCGGUUGGGGAUGGACUCGCGGCUUAUCAGCUUGUUGGUGGGGUAGUGGCUUACCAAGGCUUUGACGGGUAGCCGGCCUGAGAGGGUGACCGGCCACAUUGGGACUGAGAUACGGCCCAGACUCCUACGGGAGGCAGCAGUGGGGAAUAUUGCACAAUGGGCGGAAGCCUGAUGCAGCAACGCCGCGUGCGGGAUGACGGCCUUCGGGUUGUAAACCGCUUUCGCCUGUGACGAAGCGUGAGUGACGGUAAUGGGUAAAGAAGCACCGGCUAACUACGUG
rnacentral:rRNA from 1 species